rnacentral:rRNA from 1 species
AGAACGAACGCUGGCGGCAUGCCUAACACAUGCAAGUCGAACGAGACCUUCGGGUCUAGUGGCGCACGGGUGCGUAACGCGUGGGAAUCUGCCCUUGGGUUCGGAAUAACAGCGAGAAAUUGCUGCUAAUACCGGAUGAUGACGUAAGUCCAAAGAUUUAUCGCCCAAGGAUGAGCCCGCGUAGGAUUAGCUUGUUGGUGAGGUAAGAGCUCACCAAGGCGACGAUCCUUAGCUGGUCUGAGAGGAUGAUCAGCCACACUGGGACUGAGACACGGCCAGACUCCUACGGGAGGCAGCAGUGGGGAAUAUUGGACAAUGGGCGAAAGCCUGAUCCAGCAAU